CCUACGGGGGGCUGCAGUGGGGAAUAUUGCACAAUGGGCGCAAGCCUGAUGCAGCCAUGCCGCGUGUGUGAAGAAGGCCUUCGGGUUGUAAAGCACUUUCAGCGGGGAGGAAGGCGUUAAGGUUAAUAACCUUGUCGAUUGACGUUACCCGCAGAAGAAGCACCGGCUAACUCCGUGCCAGCAGCCGCGGUAAUACGGAGGGUGCAAGCGUUAAUCGGAAUUACUGGGCGUAAAGCGCACGCAGGCGGUCUGUCAAGUCGGAUGUGAAAUCCCCGGGCUCAACCUGGGAACUGCAUUCGAAACUGGCAGGCUAGAGUCUUGUAGAGGGGGGUAGAAUUCCAGGUGUAGCGGUGAAAUGCGUAGAGAUCUGGAGGAAUACCGGCGGCGAAGGCGGCCCCCUGGACAAAGACUGACGCUCAGGUGCGAAAGCGUGGGGAGCAAACAGGAUUAGAUACCCGUGUAGUC
rnacentral:rRNA from 1 species